rnacentral:rRNA from 1 species
GAUGAACGCUGGCGGCGUGCUUAACACAUGCAAGUCGAACGGGCUCAUAUUGAAACCUAGUGAAGUAUGAGUUAGUGGCGGACGGGUGAGUAACGCGUGGAAAACCUGCCGUAUACUGGGGGAUAACACUUAGAAAUAGGUGCUAAUACCGCAUAAGCGCACAGCUUCGCAUGAAGCGGUGUGAAAAACUCUGGUGGUAUACGAUGGUUCCGCGUCUGAUUAGCUAGUUGGUGGGGUAAUGGCCUACCAAGGCAACGAUCAGUAGCCGGCCUGAGAGGGUGAACGGCCACAUUGGGACUGAGACACGGCCCAAACUCCUACGGGAGGCAGCAGUGGGGAAUAUUGCACAAUGGGGGAAACCCUGAUGCAGCGACGCCGCGUGAGUGAAGAAGUAUUUCGGUAUGUAAAGCUCUAUCAGCAGGGAAGAAAAUGACGGUACCUGAUUAAGAAGCCCCGGCUAACUACGUGCCAGCAGCCGCGGUAAUACGUAGGGGGCAAGCGUUAUCCGGAUUUACUGGGUGUAAAGGGAGCGUAGACGGCAGCACAAGUCUGGAGUGAAAUGCCGGGGCUUAACCCCGGAACUGCUUUGGAAACUGUGCAGCUAGAGUGCAGGAGAGGUAAGUGGAAUUCCUAGUGUAGCGGUGAAAUGCGUAGAUAUUAGGAGGAACACCAGUGGCGAAGGCGGCUUACUGGACUGUAACUGACGUUGAGGCUCGAAAGCGUGGGGAGCAAACAGGAUUAGAUACCCUGGUAGUCCACGCUGUAAACGAUGAUUACUAGGUGUUGGGGGACCAAGGUCCUUCGGUGCCGUCGCAAACGCAUUAAGUAAUCCACCUGGGGAGUACGUUCGCAAGAAUGAAACUCAAAGGAAUUGACGGGGGCCCGCACAAGCGGAGGAACAUGUGGUUUAAUUCGAUGAUACGCGAGGAACCUUACCCGGGCUCAAACGCAGGAUGACGGGUCCCGAAAGGGGCCUUUCUUCGGACAUUCUGCGAGGUGCUGCAUGGUUGUCGUCAGCUCGUGCCGUGAGGUGUCGGCUUAAGUGCCAUAACGAGCGCAACCCCUGUUCACAGUUGCCAGCAGGUAAAGCUGGGGACUCUGUGGAGACUGCCGGCGCAAGCUGCGAGGAAGGCGGGGAUGACGUCAAAUCAGCACGGCCCUUACGUCCGGGGCGACACACGUGUUACAAUGGCAGGUACAGCGGGAUGCCACGGGGCGACCCGGCGCUGAACCCGAAAACCUGUCUCAGUUCGGAUUGGAGUCUGCAACCCGACUCCAUGAAGCUGGAUUCGCUAGUAAUCGCGCAUCAGCCACGGCGCGGUGAAUACGUUCCCGGGCCUUGUACACACCGCCCGUCAAGCCAUGGAAGCCGGGGGUACCUGAAGUGCGUGACCGCGAGGAGCGCCCUAGGGUAAAACCGGUGACUGGGGCU